AUACGUAGGUGGCAAGCGUUGUCCGGAUUUACUGGGUGUAAAGGGCGCGUAGGCGGGAUGGCAAGUCAGAUGUGAAAUCUCCGGGCUCAACCCGGAAACUGCAUUUGAAACUGUCGUUCUUGAGUAUCGGAGAGGCAAGCGGAAUUCCUAGUGUAGCGGUGAAAUGCGUAGAUAUUAGGAGGAACACCAGUGGCGAAGGCGGUUUGAUUGACGACAGCUGCGACUGAUGCGCGAAAGCUGGGGAAGCAAACAGGAUGAGAUCCCGUGGUAGUCCACUCCGUAAACGAUGAAAGCUAGGUGUAGGGGGACUGACCCCCUCCGUGCCGCAGUUAACACAAUAAGUAUUCCACCUGGGGAGUACGGCCGCAAGGUUGAAACUUAAAGGAAUUGACGGGG
rnacentral:rRNA from 1 species